rnacentral:rRNA from 1 species
AGCAGCCGCGGUAAUUCCAGCUCCAAUAGCGUAUAUUAAAGUUGUUGCAGUUAAAAAGCUCGUAGUUGAAUUUCGGGGUUAGUAGGUUGGUCGUGCCUCUGGUAUGUACUCGCCUUACUGAUUCCUCUUUCUUGAAGAACUGUAAUGCCAUUAAUUUGGUGUUGCAGGGAAACAGGACUGUUACUUUGAAAAAAUUAGAGUGUUUAAAGCAGGCCGAUGCCUGAAUACAUUAGCAUGGAAUAAUGAAAUAGGACGUUGAUCCUAUUUUGUUGGUUUCUAGGAUUGACGUAAUGAUUAAUAGGGAUAGUUGGGGGCAUUAGUAUUCAAUUGUCAGAGGUGAAAUUCUUGGAUUUAUUGAAGACUAACUACUGCGAAAGCAUUUGCCAAGGAUGUUUUCAUUAAUCAAGAACGAAAGUUAGGGGAUCGAAGACGAUCAGAUACCGUCGUAGUCUUAACCAUAAACUAUGCCGACUAGGGAUCGGAUGAUGUUAAUUUUUAAUGACUCAUUCGGCGCCUUACG